rnacentral:pre_miRNA from 1 species
UAUAUACUCCCUCCGUCCGGAAAUACUUGUCAUCAAAAUGGAUAAAAAGGGAUGUAUCUAGAUGUAUUUUAGUUCUAGAUACAUCCCUUUUUAUCCAUUUUGAUGACAAGUAUUUUCGGACGGAGGGAGUAUGAA